UUGAUUACUAAUUAGAAUGCCAAUUUAAGAUAUGUGCUUAGAUUUUUGGGCUUAUACUUAUGUAAAUUAUUUUAAAUGAGUCAUCUAUGUAUGUUUACAUUUUACUUGUUCUAAUGGUUUUAACUUGUUGAUAAUGUAUUUAUUUUAGAUCAUGCCAAAAUAUAGGGUGGUGACUGCAUUAUUUGAGACCCAAAGAAGAGAGGAAGUAACAUCAAUCCAAAGAGAUGAACAAGUACAAACAACAACUCCAAUUAAUACACCUGGUACCAUACAAAGAAAUAAUUCAACAACUGAUGGUGAUGCUUUACUUACUGUUAGUAGUGCAGGAUGAAAAUGAUCAUGGACUUGGACGUGAAAAUGAAGAAUGAUGGGAUGCAAUGAUAUAAAGAUUUUAAUAUUAUUUUAGAGCUUUUCUUUUUGACAUUCUAAAGUGAUGAUUUAAUUUUUGUUUGAAUUUUAUUUGGAUUAUGUAUAUUUUGGAGCUUAAUAUUGGACUAUGUAUUUGGUGCAGAUUUAGUUUU